CUCAGUCUAGUCAUGAGAAAAUAUCAGGGUAACCUCAAUUCGGGGAUAUUCUACAAUAUACCUGACCAAUGCACUUCAAAAUUGCCAAGGUCAUGAACAGCAAGACAGAGAAACUAUCAUGGAUUGAAGGGGACUUAGAUGCAAUGACUCAAUGUAAUAUGGACAAGAUUUCAGAGCCGAAAAAGACCAUCUGUUCCUCUUCACCAUGAAGUCAUAGUACUAAAUUUGUGACAGUACAAUAAUUUCCAUGGUAACAGGAUGUGGUCUUCACCACUGAAUCCUGAUUUCACUCUGACCAAUAUCAAGCAGCAGGAGGAUUGGGGAGUAUAUGCUGACACUUUCUAUUCUUUUUCAAGUUUAGUUUCUCUGAAAUUCUUACUUCUGAUUCUAAAAUCUUAAACCCAGCUGGGAUAUGUGUUUUCGCAUAGUUUACGUAUGAAGCAUUUGUCCAGUAAGUGAUAACAGAAAUGUACUCCAACCUACAGUUCCAGUAGAGUCCAGCCUUGUCACUGUGCCUAGACAUAGGAGUGAAAACAGAAAACAAAAAAACAAAACAAAACAAAAAACCUAGUCAGAUUACCAGCUUUCAAGUCUUUUGACACCCUGAACAUCAUGAAGCCGAGUCAAACUAUCCCUGACUCCCUACCAUAGACAAUCUGUAAGUAUAAUAAAAUGGUUAAUGUU